UACGUAGGGUGCAAGCGUUGUCCGGAAUUAUUGGGCGUAAAGAGCUCGUAGGCGGCUUGUUGAGUCGUCCGUGAAAACCCGUGGCUCAACUGCGGGCUUGCGGACGAUACGGGCAGGCUGGAGUUCGGUAGGGGAGACUGGAAUUCCUGGUGUAGCGGUGAAAUGCGCAGAUAUCAGGAGGAACACCGGUGGCGAAGGCGGGUCUCUGGGCCGAUACUGACGCUGAGGAGCGAAAGCGUGGGGAGCGAACAGG
rnacentral:rRNA from 1 species